UUGAAGCUGCAGAGGACCUGAUCGAUGUUUCUGGCGUGGAGAAACCCGUUGCCUCUCACCACCACCUGGAAACUGUCUGAGACAAAACGAACCCAAAAGAGUACAGGCAGCAUCAGAAAUGACUAGCGCCAGCAAAGGGAAACAUCGCUGCUGCUGCUCCCCUCCCCUCAUAUCCUUCCCAGUCCUUCAUAUCCCGUAAUGGACGUUAAUCUACACGGGUUGCCCUGGUAGCGCAGCUCCAAAAUGCACUCUCUUAAGUGAGGCCUAAUAAGGUCACGUCAGAGCUCAUCCAUCCAGCUGGCUACACAAUUAUAAGUCAGCGUGUGACAUUUAAGAUCUACAAAAAAACAGCCGACAAGCCGGUGCCAUCUCGGGAGAAAGAUCAGCAGCUUCCUGAAGGCCUGCUGAAGCAGGCAGGUCCAGACAGUCGACCGAAACGGAGGCGCACCAGAGGCUUGGCCAAGUGCGACUUUGCCACGCUCCCCAGGCUACUCCUAAACUUUUGAAGCAAAGGGUAAAGACUUGCAGAGCAGCCGACUGAUGUUGCCGUGGACAUCCAAGGCAAAACGUCACUUAAUGUGUCCACCUCAGAGACAGUGAGCCGAGGACAUGCAGCUAGGUCUUUUAAAACCAUUACCUCACCGUGCUAUACUGUUACACACAGAUACCACAGUGUUAAACCGUGUUGCUGCAAAAUCACUGCCUUCACAUUGUAACCUGUUAUUGUUCUCUACGCAAACAGGGCAACAAAAUCGGCCUGGUGCUACCUCGUGCAUUUUGAAUGUCAUUCUCUCUUUCUUUGGCUCUUCUCACUUGGCAUGUUUCAACAUGUUUGGUGCUUUGUGUCCAUGUACAUACAGUAAUCCCACCUUGCGGCUCCAGCCAAGAUACGACAAAAAUGUCAAUUAUAAUGUCUGAGCAGACCGCAGAGAGAUCACUCGCUGAUAAUUGCUGGUGCAGUCGUGCAUGCGCAGCAAAAAAAAAAGGUUGCAAAAACAUCCUCGCUGAACAUGAAGUUGGAAAAAUCUUACUAUUAUGGAAUUUAACAAGUAUGUUGGGGUGACUGAUUGUGCAUUCCUCUUAAAUCACAAAUGAUGCCCCUCUAACACCGAUUCAGUUUCAUGUAUUGAAAAAGUGUUAAAAAUGGCACAAAGAUAUUCGAUUUCUUUCAUUUGGUGUUAAUGUUAGAAAAUAGGAUCAUGGUCUUCCUGGCAGCCGAGAGGUCCAAGAGGUAAUAGCAAGGUCUCCGAUCUAAAUCAGGCUCUUUGUUUGGCAUUCUUCCUCUGUCACGUCUCAUUUCCAGUCAACCCUCCUAUCAAACAACAAGACACAUGCCCCCCAAAAAAGGAAAAAGGGUCAUUUUAGCAUCAGUCCAAGGCUAUGCAAAGUUUUUUAAAGAUAUAUGCAGCAUAGUUAUAGAGUUUAUUGGAUGUAAAUUGUAGGCCUGUACUUGCAAGAAUAACACAUUUUUAGUGCAGAUAUCCUGUUACCUGCUUCUGGACGACAUUCAUCUGAUGGAUAAAAGAGCUAUGAGCUGGAAAACAAUAAAGAGGGUCCCUUGCUGCCGGCUCAGGAUGGAGAGAGAGGAACCGUUUGAAGGAUCGCCGGGCCCGGGGCAGCUGCUGCAGCUGUGUCCGCAGGCGUCAUCGGCCUGAAACCCUAUACAUCCCGCUCUGCCCUGCCCACAUCCCGUGGGUGAGUCUUUCGCCUCACCACUUUGAACCGGGAGAAGAGAAAAAGCAUGCGGCUCGAUGUCCCAAGUGUCCCCCCCUCCCCCCUAUACUUCACAUAUCCCGGUGCUCAAAGGCACUCUGAGAUAAACAAUGAGGGUCACAUGGUUUUGGACGCACAGUCUUACUAAACACUAAAGUUGUGGUUGGCUACAGAAAAUGCGUUUUGACAAAGACUUGGGCUUCCAAUUCUAUAAGUUGAAACUUGUAGGUCACCUCUCUCGCGCGCCGUUACAACAACAGAGACGCGGAGACCGAGUCCGACUGAUGCGCUCCGCGUUUCCAACCCAACUGGGCGGGUUGCAUGGCAAUGCGCAGCGAUGAGAAACUAACAAAGCCAUAAAUAAUAUCGGACACUCACUUGUCCAGGACAAAAUAGAGGUCGAAGGCGCCCUGACAGGACAUCUCCUCCUCCUCCUCCUCCUCCUCCGCCGCCUGUUGCUCUCCUUUCACCGAGACCUCGAGGAGGAAAAUUCCCAGCAACGCCAAGGCGAGGAACAUGCG